GACGAACGCUGGCGGCGUGCUUAACACAUGCAAGUCGAACGGAAAGGCCCUGCUUUUGUGGGGUGCUCGAGUGGCGAACGGGUGAGUAACACGUGAGUAACCUGCCCUUGACUUUGGGAUAACUUCAGGAAACUGGGGCUAAUACCGGAUAUGAGCUCCUGCUCCAUGGUGGGGGUUGGAAAGUUUCGGCGGUUGGGGAUGGACUCGCGGCUUAUCAGCUUGUUUGUGGGGUAGUGGCUUACCAAGGCUUUGACGGGUAGCCGGCCUGAGAGGGUGACCGGCCACAAGGGGACUGAGGGACGGCCCAGACGCGAACGGGAGGCAGCGGGGGGAAGUAUGGCAGAGUAGGGGGAAGCGUGAUGCGAAAACGCCGGGUGCGGGAUAACGGCCUUCGGGGUAAAAACAGCUUUCGACUGUGACAAGGAGGGAGUGACGGUAAUGGAUAAAGAAGCACCGGCUAACUACGUG
rnacentral:rRNA from 1 species